GACGAACGCUGGCGGCGUGCUUAACACAUGCAAGUCGAGCGGUAAGGCCCUUUCGGGGGUACACGAGCGGCGAACGGGUGAGUAACACGUGGGUGACCUGCCCUCAGCUCUGGGAUAAGCCUGGGAAACCGGGUCUAAUACUGGAUAUGACUCCAUGACGCAUGUUGUGGGGUGGAAAGCCUUGUGCGGCUGAGGAUGGGCCCGCGGCCUAUCAGCUUGUUGGUGGGGUGANGGCCUACCAAGGCUAUGACGGGUAGCUGGUCUGAGAGGACGACCAGCCACACGGGAACUGAGACACGGUCCCGACUCCUACGGGAGGCAGCAGUGGGGAAUUUUCCGCAAUGGGCGAAAGCCUGACGGAGUGACGCCGCGUGGGGACGAAGCC
rnacentral:rRNA from 1 species